GACGAACGCUGGCGGCGUGCUUAACACAUGCAAGUCGAACGGAAAGGCCCGGUUUUUGUGGCGUCCUCGUGUGCCGAACGGGUGAGUAUCACGUGUGUAGCCUCCGCCUGACUUUGGGAUAACUUCAGGAAACUGGGGCUCAUAUCCGAUAUGAGCUCUUGCAACACGGUGGUGGUUGUAGAGUUUCGGCGUUUGAGGAUGGACUCGCGGCUUAGCAGCUUGUUGGUGGGGUAGUGGCUUACCAAGGCUUCGACGGGUAGCCGGCCUGGGACGGUGACCGGCCACAUAGGGACUGAGAUGCGACCCAGACUGAAACGGGAGGCAGCGGUGGAGGUCAUAGCACGAUGCGCGGCAGCAGGAUGCAGCGUCGCCGGGUGCGGGAUGUCGGCUUUCGGGUUGUAAAGCGCUUUCGCGUGUAACGAAGCGUGAGUGACGGUAAUGGGUAAAGAAGCACCGGCUAACUACGUG
rnacentral:rRNA from 1 species